ACCAGUCAUGCUACGAGCCAACAUACAUCUCUUCCUGUUGAUUGCUGCCUCCUCUUCCUUCCUCCUGCUAGUGUACCAUCUGGGACCACAACCAGUGUUCAACUCGCACAUGGUGAUCAGCAGCACUACAACUCCACUUACUGAUAUACUGAAUUAUUCAGCUUGCAAUCCAACGACGAGCUUCUACUACUCAAAUCAAGAAGACUGCUCUCUCCCCUACGUCACCAUGAACGCAGGAGGACGCCUGGGUAACAAACUCUGCCAAUAUAUGUCAUUAGUAUUACUCAGGAAGACAUUUGGUGUCCGGUGUGGCUCAUCCUGUGUUUGUGGUGUCCAGUGACGAUCGUGGCUGGUGCUUAAGCAAUAUAAUGGACAAAGAUGUUGUUUUUGCAGGUGGCGCUGAUCCUGUGACAGACAUGGCCCUCAUGACCCUGGGUGACCAUCAUGUCAUAACCUAUGGUACCUAUGGCUUCGUAGGCGCUUUCCUAGGAAGAGGAACCAUCUUCUUCCCAAAAAACAAAGACUUUCUUGAGUUCCCAUGUUUCAACUCGACCAUUGUUCAUCUAGUCGACAGAUUUUAGUUUUACUAUCAAGUUUGUAGUCAUAAAUAAAUAUAUUAUUUGUAAUAAAGUUGGUAGAAUUACCGACAAUAUGUAAAGUAAAAGGACACAAGUGCAACUAAUGUGACAUUUACUGUGGCAACGUUUCGCUGGUAAUGGCUUGAUAAAGCUCCUGGAGAGCGAAACGUUGCCACAAUAAAUGUCACAUUAGUUGCACUUGUGUCCUUUUACUUUACAAAUAUUUAUUUGUACAAGUACAUGAUGCAACUUAUACAGACCAUAGCUAACAUCAGUGACAUACUAUAUAGAAAGCCCCUGGUUAUGCACAGCAUAUCGGGAAAAUUAGGUUAAUUUUGUCUCUAGUAUGCGACCCAUACCAGUCGACUAACACCCGGGUACCUACUUACUGCUAGGUGGACACAGACAGCAGGUAUACACAAAUAACCCGCACAGAAAAGAGAGAAGCUUACGACGAUGUUUCGGUCCGACUUGGACCAUUUACAAAGUCACACAUGUGCGGCGUCUGGGUGUCUUUGUUGUGGACGUUUCGCCAUCCAGUGGCUGGCUGGAUGGCGAAACGUCUACGAUAGAGAUGCCCAGGUGUUGCGCAUAAGUCUUAAUUUCAUCUUGUCGGUAUUAUAUACCAUUCUUUUACUACUACUACUACUACUACUACUACUACUACUACUACCACCACCACCAUCACCACCACCUCUUCCUGCCUAUAUAUAGCCGUCC